rnacentral:lncRNA from 1 species
CCAAUAAGUGUAUACAUAUAAAUAUAAAUACACACACACAUAUAUAUAUAUACAUAUUAUGAAAUAUGAGAGAGAUUUACAGUGAAGAGUGGAUCUGGGGGAGGGUUAAGAAGUAUGUGUUUUUCUUAGGUAGCCGCAAUGAACAACAGAUCAAUGUAAUAUUCACUCUUUAUGUACAGUACGUGCAUACAUAUAAAUAUAAAC